rnacentral:rRNA from 1 species
GUGGGGAAUCUUGCGCAAUGGGCGAAAGCCUGACGCAGCCAUGCCGCGUGAAUGAUGAAGGUCUUAGGAUUGUAAAAUUCUUUCACCGGGGACGAUAAUGACGGUACCCGGAGAAGAAGCUCCGGCUAACUUCGUGCCAGCAGCCGCGGUAAUACGAAGGGGGCUAGCGUUGCUCGGAAUUACUGGGCGUAAAGGGCGCGUAGGCGGACAGCUUAGUCAGAGGUGAAAGCCCAGGGCUCAACCUUGGAAUUGCCUUUGAUACUGGCUGUCUUGAGUUUGGGAGAGGUGAGUGGAACUCCGAGUGUAGAGGUGAAAUUCGUAGAUAUUCGGAAGAACACCAGUGGCGAAGGCGACUCACUGGCCCAAUACUGACGCUGAGGCGCGAAAACGUGGGGAGCAAACAGGAUUAGAAACCCGUGUAGUCC